GUUGACACGAUCAUUAAAGAGUUGUGAUGACUUCGCGUGCAUCUCGAAAGGGAUGGGGAUUGAAUCUAAAAGUUAGAUUAUCAAGGCCGUAAAAAGUAAAAAAAAAGUUUAUAAUGAGAAAAAAAAAAAAAAAAUGCGUUGUCAAUUUUCUCGACUUUUUUUUUUUGAAAAAAUAAUGUGUAGGCACGUGCCUAUAGUGCCUAACGGCAG
rnacentral:lncRNA from 1 species